rnacentral:rRNA from 1 species
AUUGAACGCUGGCGGCAUGCUUUACACAUGCAAGUCGAACGGUAACAGGCCGCAAGGUGCUGACGAGUGGCGAACGGGUGAGUAAUGCAUCGGAACGUGCCCAGUCGUGGGGGAUAACGCAGCGAAAGCUGCGCUAAUACCGCAUACGAUCUAUGGAUGAAAGCGGGGGACCGUAAGGCCUCGCGUGAUUGGAGCGGCCGAUGUCAGAUUAGGUAGUUGGUGGGGUAAAGGCUCACCAAGCCAACGAUCUGUAGCUGGUCUGAGAGGACGACCAGCCACACUGGGACUGAGACACGGCCCAGACUCCUACGGGAGGCAGCAGUGGGGAAUUUUGGACAAUGGGCGCAAGCCUGAUCCAGCAAUGCCGCGUGCAGGAAGAAGGCCUUCGGGUUGUAAACUGCUUUUGUACGGAACGAAACGGUCCGGGUUAAUACCCUGGGCUAAUGACGGUACCGUAAGAAUAAGCACCGGCUAACUACGUGCCAGCAGCCGCCGUAAGAC